UGGGGAAUUUUGGACAAUGGGCGCAAGCCUGAUCCAGCAAUGCCGCGUGCAGGAUGUAGGCCUUCGGGUUGUAAACUGCUUUUGUACGGAGCGAAAAGGUCUGCCCUAAUACGGUGGGCUCAUGACGGUACCGUAAGAAUAAGCACCGGCUAACUACGUGCCAGCAGCCGCGGUAAUAUGUAGGGUGCGAGCGUUAAUCGGAAUUACUGGGCGUAAAGCGUGCGCAGGCGGUUAUAUAAGACAGAGGUGAAAUCCCCGGGCUCAACCUGGGAACUGCCUUUGUGACUACAUAGCUAGAGUACGGUAGAGGGGGAUGGAAUUCCGCGUGUAGCAGUGAAAUGCGUAGAUAUGCGGAGGAACACCGAUGGCGAAGGCAAUCCCCUGGACCAGUACUGACGCUCAUGCACGAAAGCGUGGGGAGCAAACA
rnacentral:rRNA from 1 species